UACCUGGUCUUGACAUCCACGGAAGUUUUCAGAGAUGAGAAUGUGCCUUCGGGAACCGUGAGACAGGUGCUGCAUGGCUGUCGUCAGCUCGUGUUGUGAAAUGUUGGGUUAAGUCCCGCAACGAGCGCAACCCUUAUCCUUUGUUGCCAGCGGUCCGGCCGGGAACUCAAAGGAGACUGCCAGUGAUAAACUGGAGGAAGGUGGGGAUGACGUCAAGUCAUCAUGGCCCUUACGACCAGGGCUACACACGUGCUACAAUGGCGCAUACAAAGAGAAGCGACCUCGCGAGAGCAAGCGGACCUCAUAAAGUGCGUCGUAGUCCGGAUUGGAGUCUGCAACUCGACUCCAUGAAGUCGGAAUCGCUAGUAAUCGUGGAUCAGAAUGCCACGGUGAAUACGUUCCCGGGCCUUGUACACACCGCCCGUCACACCAUGGGAGUGGGUUGCAAAAGAAGUAGGUAGCUUAACCUUCGGGAGGGCGCUUACCACUUUGUGAUUCAUGACUGGGGUGAAGUCGUAACAAGGUAACCGUAGGGGAACCUGCGGUUGGAUCAC
rnacentral:rRNA from 1 species